rnacentral:rRNA from 1 species
CGGCGGACGGGGAGGUAACGCGUGGGUAACCUGCCUCAUACAGGGGGAUAACAGUUAGAAAUGACUGCUAAUACCGCAUAAGACCACAGCACCGCAUGGUGCAGGGGUAAAAACGUACCGGUGGUAUGAGAUGGACCCGCGUCUGAUUAGCUAGUUGGUAAGGUAACGGCUUACCAAGGCGACGAUCAGUAGCCGACCUGAGAGGGUGACCGGCCACAUUGGGACUGAGACACGGCCCAA